AUUGAACGCUGGCGGCAGGCCUAACACAUGCAAGUCGAGCGGAGCGGCGGACGGGUGAGUAAUGCCUAGGAAUCUGCCUGGUAGUGGGGGAUAAAGUCCGGAAACGGGCGCUAAUACCGCAUACUAUCAGAUGAGCCUAGGUCGGAUUAGCUAGUUGGUGGGGUAAAGGCCUACCAGGGCACGGUUCCGUAACUGGUCUGAGAGGAUGUUCAGUCACACUGGAACGGGAAAACGGGCCAGACUCCUACGGGAGGCAUCAGUGGGGAAUAUUGGACAAUGGGCGAAAGCCUGAUCCAGCCAUGCCGCGUGUGUGAAGAAGGUCUUCGGAUUGUAAAGCACUUUAAGUUGGGAGGCGUUACCAACAGAAUAAGCACCGGCUAACUUCGUGCCAGCAGCCGCGGUAAUAC
rnacentral:rRNA from 1 species